CGGCAGCAUACACACCUCAAUUUAAAAAAAAAAUAGGACCGGCACGCUACGGGACAUCACAAUCCUAUAUCGGCACAGUGCUGCUAAAAGGUUGCCUACCCCUGGCCUAGGCUAUCUUUAUGUAGAGCAACAAUUCUUUUUUUUCAGAUCCUCAGAGAGUUCUUUGCCAUGAGGUGCCAUGUUGAACUUCCAGUGACUAGUAUGAGAGUGAUAACACCAAAUUUAACACACCUGCGCCCCAUUCACACCUGAGACCUUGUAACACUAACGAGUCACAUGACACCGGGGAGAGAAAAUGGCUAAUUGGGCCCAAUUCGGACAUUUUCACAUAGGCGUGUACUCACUUUUGUUGCC